GUGCCUGCUUCAGCAGCACAUAUACUAAAAUUGGAAUGAUACAGAGAAGAUUAACAUGGCCCCUGCACAAGGAUGACAUGCAAAUUCAUGAAGCGUUCCAUAUUUUU
rnacentral:snRNA from 1 species